GGAUGUGAGGGCGAUCUGGCUGCGACAUCUGUCACCCCAUUGAUCGCCAGGGUUGUUUCGGCUGAUCUGGCUGGCUAGUCGGGUGUCCCCUUCCUCCCUCACCGCUCCAUGUGCGUCCCUCCCGAAGCUGCGCGCUCGGUCGAAGAGGACGACCUUCCCCGAAUAGAGGAGGACCGGUCUUCGGUCAAGGGUAUACGAGUAGCUGCACUCCCCUGCUAGAACCUCCAAACAAGCUCUCAAGAAGCAGGCAACUUGUCAAACCAGGAUUUUAGCCCAAAAAUCCAUCUAUCUGUUAAGCUCUCUAUCGGGAGCAUCAGACUUUUA
rfam:Rattus norvegicus chromosome 1, whole genome shotgun sequence.